UAUAGCUCAGCUGGGAGAGCGCUUGCAUGGCAUGCAAGAGGUCGACGGUUCGAUCCCGUCUAGCUCCACCA
rnacentral:tRNA from 1 species